GACGAACGCUGGCGGCGUGCCUAAUACAUGCAAGUCGAACGCUUCUUUCCUCCCGAGUGCUUGCACUCGAUUGGAAAGAGGAGUGGCGGACGGGUGAGUAACACGUGGGUAACCUACCCAUCAGAGGGGGAUAACACUUGGAAACAGGUGCUAAUACCGCAUAACAGUUUAUGCCGCAUGGCAUAAGAGUGAAAGGCGCUUUCGGGUGUCGCUGAUGGAUGGACCCGCGGUGCAUUAGCUAGUUGGUGAGGUAACGGCUCACCAAGGCCACGAUGCAUAGCCGACCUGAGAGGGUGAUCGGCCACACUGGGACUGAGAAACGGCCCAGACUCCUACGGGAGGCAGCAGUAGGGAAUCUUCGGGAAUGGACGAAAGUCUGACCGAGCAACGCCGCGUGAGUGAAGAAGGUUUUCGGAUCGUAAAACUCUGUUGUUAGAGAAGAACAAGGACGUUAGUAACUGAACGUCCCCUGACGGUAUCUAACCAGAAAGCCACGGCUAACUACGUGCCAGCCGCCGCAGUAA
rnacentral:rRNA from 1 species